AUUGAACGCUGGCGGCAUGCCUUACACAUGCAAGUCGAACGGCAGCACGGACUUCGGUCUGGUGGCGAGUGGCGAACGGGCGAGUAAUAUAUCGGAACAUACCUUGUAGUGGGGGAUAACUAUCCGAAAGGAUAGCUAAUACCGCAUACGCUCUAAGGAGGAAAGUGGGGGAUCGCAAGACCUCAUGCUAUAAGAGUGGCCGAUAUCUGAUUAGCUAGUUGGUGAGGUAAAGGCUCACCAAGGCGACGAUCAGUAGCUGGUCUGAGAGGACGACCAGCCACACUGGAACUGAGACACGGUCCAGACUCCUACGGGAGGCAGCAGUGGGGAAUUCUGGACAAUGGGGGCAACCCUGAUCCAGCAAUGCCGCGUGAGUGAAGAAGGCCUUCGGGUUGUAAAGCUCUUUUGUCAGGGAAGAAACGGUUGUGGCUAAUAUCCAUGGCUAAUGACGGUACCUGAAGAAUAAGCACCGGCUAACUACGUGCCAGCAGCCGCGGUAA
rnacentral:rRNA from 1 species